rnacentral:tRNA from 1 species
GGAAAAGUAGCUUAAUUCAAAGCACUUUGUUGAAAACGAAGAAGAUGGUGUACUACUUUUUUCCG